rnacentral:lncRNA from 1 species
CUAUAUUUUCAGCUUGAAGCUACUUCUAGCCAUAAAUUCAAGAACAUUAAGUCACCAGCUUCCGUGACAGCCCUGAGCCACCACUGAACUUCUCCAGCCACUUCACGUGAUGCUGCAGUCAGUACCUGGCAGCUUGGAGAACUAUUGCAAGGCAAGAUGAAGAGCCAGAGUUACCUGUCAAAAGAAUCCUAGAGAAUAAUUUAGCAUGGAAAAUGGAAAGAGGGAUGAUUCUGAAACUCAGGAAAAGAUAGAGACACGCAUAAGGUAAAUCUUAAGUUAUGUUGGAAUAUUUGCUCAGAUUUUAG